rnacentral:rRNA from 1 species
CUGGCUCAGGAUGAACGCUGGCGGCGUGCUAACACAUGCAAGUCGAACGGGAACUCUGAACUGAAGGUUCGCUGGAUGUUUAGAAAUUCUAGUGGCGGACGGGUGAGUAACGCGUGGGUAACCUGCCUAUAAGACGUGAACAACAGUUAGAAAUGACUGCUAAUACACGAUAAGCACACAGUAUUGCAUGAUACAGUGUGAAAAGAAUUUCGCUUAUAGAUGGACCCGCGUUUGAUUAGCCAGUUGGUGGGGUAACGGCCUACCAAAGCAACGAUCAAUAGCCGGCCUGAGAGGGCGAUCGGCCACAUUGGGACUGAGACACGGCCCAAACUCCUACGGGAGGCAGCAGUGGGGAAUAUUGGACAAUGGGGGCAACCCUGAUCCAGCCAACGCCGCGUGAGUGAUGAAGUAUCUUGGUAUGUAAAGCUCUAUCAGUAGGUAUGAAACAAGACAGCCUAACUAAGAAGCCCCGGCUAACUACGUGCCAGCAGCGGC